AGAGUGCCCCACCAUCUUAGUUAGUGCCUAGUUAGUGCUUUCCCAGCUUUGAGAAGGAGGUGGGAGGACUCUAGGACAAUGCCAGAGCCUUGCACCUCCUUCUCAAUCUCUUUGGGAAGGCAGCGCAAGGGCUGGGGGCUGGAGUGGGCUUGAAAUAUUGGCCUUGCUGCCUCCCCUGUUGUGCAACCAUGUAUUGUCCAGCCUGUGGGUUCUGUGUCAAAGUACUCUUUUCAGACCCAUUUGGUCUGAAAGGUUGGACUGUCCUGAUCUAGUCCAACCCCCUGCAGUGCAGGAAUCUUGCACCCAACAUGGGGCUCAAACCCACAACCAUGAGAUUAAGAGUCUCAUGCUCUACUGAUAGGAGUUGUCCCUAAUUAUUCAAUAUAUAUUGCCUUGCUGUUUUCUUUUUCAAUUGCCUGCUUUUUAGGAGAAUUAUACGACCACUGUCAGUAAAACAAAUAGACAUCUGCAAUGGAACUGGACUUCCGAAAUACCCUUGGAAUGUGUGGCUCAUGCAGUAAGGAUCAGGAGCACGGUGAGGUUUUCUGAAGUUUGGAGCGACUGGAGCCCAUGGAAGAUAGCAGAUGGGAUGGAUGUCGUAAACAUUCGCUGGCAUUUCUUAUGGCCAGAGGGUAAUAAGUUCGUUGAAAUGGGUUCUGACGUCAAGUAUUGCUGCAUUGGGGCGGAAAACAAGAGUGUACCGAAAUUUUAUUUUGGUGAUAAGCAGAUGAACGUUGGACUGCAACGAAGAGUAUUAGUUACUUUGAAAAAUGUUACCCGAUCCAAGAGACUUGGCUACACUAUCCAGUGUGAUUCCGAAAGUGCAUCUCUCUUUGUGACCAACCAGCCUGAUAAACCCAAAGACUUAGCCUGCAAAACAGAAGACAUGAUUAACUUGGAGUGUACCUGGCACCCUAGUGCUAAAUAUACGGAUGCUGAGUUGCUAUGUCCAGCAAGCUUCACCUUGUCUGAUGGGUAAGUUUUCUGAAACCCUGAUCCUGACAGGAGAGUUCCUUAGGAAGUGACAACAGUUAUGCCAGCCAUCAUAGUAUACCUUUUUUUGAGGAAAUGAGUUGUUGACGAAAUGAAUUACAGGGACAGAAAGUGUCCUGGAAGAUGACCAGAGGGUUGGAUCAAAUGGAUUAUUUGCAGAC
rnacentral:lncRNA from 1 species